UCCUAGCCCCGAUGGCAAUGGAAAUCCUUUUUUACGGGCGCGGCUUCGCCGCGCCCGUAAAAAAGAUUGCAAUGAACAGCGGGACCGUAA
rnacentral:sRNA from 1 species